GAAUAAUUUCGAAAAUUAGCCUACUAUAGACAUUAUAAUCUAUUCAGCCACAUUCAUUAUGCAGAGUCUUUAUGAAUAAACACUUUAAACAGCUCGACUAGUGCAUAUAAUAAAGGCAAGUGAAGCCCUUUUGCAUGUCAAAGAGCGGCAUGUAGGCCCAGCCACAGUUUCGCUCAUGCGCACAUCAUAUUGAGUAUUACGUCUGAGAAACUGUUGAACCACUGGAUCAGGAGCAAGCCAUGUCAGAGAAGAAACAAACAGUGGAUUUGGGGCUGUUGGAGGAGGAUGAUGAAUUUGAAGAAUUCCCAGCAGAGGACUGGACAGGCCUGGAUGAAGAUGAGGACGCUCAUGUUUGGGAAGAUAACUGGGAUGAUGACAACGUAGAGGAUGACUUUUCUAAUCAGCUGAGAGCGGAGCUAGAAAAACACGGAUACAAGAUGGAAACCUCCUAACAUUGGACUACUUGAGCUGAAAUUGAUUUUUCCACAUUUGAAUAUUGUCAGAUUGUUCUGUCAACAGAAAAUGUGACCUCUUUUAUUACUUUUGUAAGAAGCCCAGCGUUGUAAAACGGGUCAGUUGAAACUGAUAUCAAUGUUUUUUCCCCUUCCCUUAUAUACAAUUUAUGUUAAUCAUUGUAAUAAUAAAGAAUUGUUUUGCCAAUUCUGAUUGUUUUUUUCUAUUAUUAUUAUUAUUUAUAUACAUGUAUUUAGAGGCAGAGUAUUGUAUUGCACACAUGAAUUUGUAAUUGUCUUUCUAAUCAUAAAUGUAAAGUCUGGUAAAUAUUGUUAAUCAGUGAGCAGAUUUUCACGUAACCUUCAGAGAUGCAGCUGCAUGCAUCCAUGGAGAAACUGCUUGGCCUGUGCCCUGACGCUUCCCCCGAGCUCAUGGGGCUUGGCAGAGUCUCUGCUGGGAGAGAUUAUCCAGUGAAGUGUUUGUCAGAGGCACGGAGGUGGUCACAGCGUGAAGCCCCAGCCAGUCCUGCCUGGGCCUGCCCUCUCCCAACCAGGCCCUGCUCUUUUGCUCUCCACAGCGAGGGCUCCCACACGGAACCAGAAGCCAAUUUGCCCAGCCGCACUCCCCCCUAGCAAAAUGAUUUCUCUGGAUUUGUGGCUGUGAGUCCCAAGGACAUAAUGAGCUGAAAUCAAUGCCAGUAAGGCAUGUUCUACCGCAGAGGCAUCAUUUGCUCAUGUUUUAAAGCCUCAUGUUGCAUAUUUUCUCUCCCCAAAAUUCAAAAUAUAUUUUGGAAAUGUAUGAAAUUAUCAUUUGUUUUAGAACUUCAUUUCUUUGGGACAGAAAUGUGCAUGUUUGGCUAUGAUGUGCAUCGCAUUGGUUUUUUAUGUUGCUCUAAGUCUACAUGUAUGAAGGCUGCGUCUACUUGCUCAGUGUGUUGUUCAAUACAUUUUCUGUUGUUGAUUCUGACAUUAAUGAUCUGGUGUCAAAUUUAUGAUUACAUCCUCUUUUUUUUGACAUCAGGGACACCCACAUCUUACAGACGUGCACAAUCAAAACAUGUAAAUCCACCCAUGCCCUUCAAAAUAAGUGCUCUGUGCUGGAUCAUUAUUUUAAUUGUUGGAGAGUCAUUGAGGUGUGAAAAUCACUAAGUGAGAGCAACAGUGGAGAUUCCAAGGCCAUUUUGUUUGUGCCUGAAGGCGGAAGAUUGGCCUCUUGUGUUUGAGUAAGGAUGGGUGUUGCGGUUGCACUGGGGUGUACGCGACCACAGCAAGCACCUCCACCAUGAGCCAAGAGGAGACAGGGGGCUGUCGUGCUGGGAUCGCGCAGCUGCUGCAAUAAUAGGCCUAAUUGCACGUUUCUUUUGUGGGUCUGAAAUUAGUGGCAGAGCACAGCUACAAUGCCCAAACCUUGAGUAAAAAAAAAAAAAAACUCACAGGGGCAACUGUUCAGCAGUGUGGCCCAUCACCACCACCCACAACUCCCUGUCCCACACCUGCACUCACCCUCGCUAAAGUAAACACAGAUAAUAAGGUGUAAUUACUUCAAAAAAUAAUAAUGAGAGCCCUCCAUGUGACAAUGGUUGGCCUGUUUAUUGAGGGUGGAAAAUAACUUCAGAAGACGCAGAUGAGGGUUCCCCCAUUGAGGGACCCUAAAAGGACAUGUAUCAGUAUAAGUGUGUUAACCUCAUUUCAGGCCCCUUUUCUCUCUAUAUGUAUUUCUUUGUCUGUCUUUCUUUUUCCACUGUAUGCAUAGCUGUUAAUUUUUUCUGCUGUUCAUUUUGCUUGUAGGACUCAUUGUGCCAUUUGGAAAUGUUACCAUUGCGUAAUACAGCAUUUCGCUGUGUCACUAUAAAAACAAAGCGGUUGUUUUGUAUGUUAUUUUGUGCUAGAAAGACAUUUUAAGGACUUUUACAAAGGAAAUUAUUUCCAUUGAUGUCGGAA
ensembl:lncRNA